rnacentral:rRNA from 12 species
CCUGCCAGUAAUCGCACGCUUGUCUCAAAGACUAAGCCAUGCAUGUCUAAGUAUAAGCGAUUUAUACGGUGAAACUGCGAACGGCUCAUUAAAACAGUUAUAGUUUCUUUGAAAGUGUUUUUCUUUAGAUGGAUACUUGUGGCAAAUCUAGAAAUAAUACAUGCUUUAGGGCCCGACUUUUGGGAAGGGCUGCAUUUAUUAGAUAUAAACCAAUACCUCUCGGGGUUGUUUUGGUGAUUCAUAGUAACUAAGCGAAUCGCAGAGGUGUUUGUGCCGGCGAUGUUCAUUCAAGUUUCUGCCCCAUCAAUUGUCGAUGGUAGGGUAUUGGCCUACCAUUGC